UGGGGAAUAUUGGACAAUGGGCGCAAGCCUGAUCCAGCCAUGCCGCGUGAGUGAUGAAGGCCCUAGGGUUGUAAAGCUCUUUCACCGGUGAAGAUAAUGACGGUAACCGGAGAAGAAGCCCCGGCUAACUUCGUGCCAGCAGCCGCGGUAAUACGAAGGGGGCUAGCGUUGUUCGGAUUUACUGGGCGUAAAGCGCACGUAGGCGGACUUUUAAGUCAGGGGUGAAAUCCCGGGGCUCAACCCCGGAACUGUCUUUGAUACUGGAAGUCUUGAGUAUGGUAGAGGUGAGUGGAAUUUCGAGUGUAGAGGUGAAAUUCGUAGAUAUUCGGAGGAACACCAGUGGCGAAGGCGGCGCACUGGACCAUUACUGACGCUGAGGUGCGAAAGCGUGGGGAGCAAACAGG
rnacentral:rRNA from 1 species